AGAAAGCUUGCUUUCUUUGCUGGCGACCGGCGCACGGGUGAGUAACACGUAUCCAACCUGCCCUUUACUCGGGGAUAGCCUUUCGAAAGAAAGAUUAAUACCCGAUAGCAUAAUGAUUCCGCAUGGUUUCAUUAUUAAAGGAUUCCGGUAAAGGAUGGGGAUGCGUUCCAUUAGGUUGUUGGUGAGGUAACGGCUCACCAAGCCUUCGAUGGAUAGGGGUUCUGAGAGGAAGGUCCCCCACAUUGGAACUGAGACACGGUCCAAACUCCUACGGGAGGCAGCAGUGAGGAAUAUUGGUCAAUGGGCGUUAGCCUGAACCAGCCAAGUAGCGUGAAGGAUGAAGGCUCUAUGGGUCGUAAACUUCUUUUAUAUAAGAAUAAAGUGCAGUAUGUAUACUGUUUUGUAUGUAUUAUAUGAAUAAGGAUCGGCUAACUCCGUGCCAGCAGCCGCGGUAAUACGGAGGAUCCGAGCGUUAUCCGGAUUUAUUGGGUUUAAAGGGAGCGUAGGUGGACUGGUAAGUCAGUUGUGAAAGUUUGCGGCUCAACCGUAAAAUUGCAGUUGAUACUGUCAGUCUUGAGUACAGUAGAGGUGGGCGGAAUUCGUGGUGUACGCGGUGAAAUGCUUAGAUAUCACGAAGAACUCCGAUUGCGAAGGCAGCU
rnacentral:rRNA from 1 species